rnacentral:rRNA from 1 species
UGGAAAGAGAAGUCGUAACAAGGUUUCCGUAGGUGAACCUGCGGAAGGAUCAUUGCACACACAAGUUGCAGCCAACCCGCGGCGAACGAACACAUUGUCCCCCCCUUCGGCGCGUCGUCUCCCCUCGUCACGCGAGCGCGAGCUUCGUGGCGUCGGGUUUCCACACGAUGCAUCACCCGAAUGACUGAGUCCCGAAUAGACUUGGAUGGAGGAGUGGUUGCGUUCCGUGCCCUCGAACUCGAGGUGCGCGGCGCGCGCCGGUUACCUUACGACGAGUUGAAACUUAACAAAGAACAACUCUCAGCAACGGAUAUCUUGGCUCUUGCAACGAUGAAGAACGCAGCGAAAUGCGAUACGUAGUGUGAAUUGCAGAAUUCCGCGAAUCAUCGAGUCUUUGAACGCAAGUUGCGCCCGAGGCUUGUCCGAGGGCAUUUCCGCUAGAGCGUCACCGCGCCCCCCACCGAUCCGCUCCCGCCGCGAGGCGCGUGUCGGGUCGAGUGGAAGUGGCCGUCCCGGCGAAGCGGCCUUCUUUCACGAGGAGGCCGCCCUUGUCUAAGGGUCGGCUGAAAUGGAUGGAAUCGGGCCGCCGUGGUGACACAGUCCGCGAUCGGGUGAUUUCGUCGCGAGCCUCCUCCGUGAGGCUCUCGUUGAAUUUUUCUAAGUGCUUGGCUGCGUCCCCCAGUUGGCUCGGGUUACCUCAUGCAGGUCGAGCGCGUCACGCAUCAGACCUCUAAUCGGAAAAGACUACCCGCUGAGUUUAAGCAUAUCACUAAGCGGAGGAA